rnacentral:rRNA from 1 species
GAUGAACGCUGGCGGCGUGCUUAACACAUGCAAGUCGAACGAAGCACUUUAUUUGAUUUCCUUCGGGACUGAUUAUUUUGUGACUGAGUGGCGGACGGGUGAGUAACGCGUGGGUAACCUGCCUUGUACAGGGGGAUAACAGUUGGAAACGGCUGCUAAUACCGCAUAAGCGCACAGCAUCGCAUGAUGCAGUGUGAAAAACUCCGGUGGUAUAAGAUGGACCCGCGUUGGAUUAGCUAGUUGGUGAGGUAACGGCCCACCAAGGCGACGAUCCAUAGCCGAGAUGAGAGGGUGACCGGCCACAUUGGGACUGAGACACGGCCCAAACUCCUACGGGAGGCAGCAGUAGGGAAUAUUGCACAAUGGGCGAAAGCCUGAUGCAGCGACGCCGCGUGAGAGAAGAAGUAUUUCGGUAUGUAAAGCUCUAUCAGAAGGGAAGAUAAUGACGGUACCUGACUAAGAAGCACCGGCUAAAUACGUG